rnacentral:rRNA from 1 species
GUAAGGAAUAUUGGUCAAUGGGCGAAAGCCUGAACCAGCCAUGCCGCGUGGAGGAUGAAGGUCCUCUGGAUUGUAAACUUCUUUUAUUUGGGACGAAAAAAGGGAAUUCUUUCUCGCUUGACGGUACCAGAUGAAUAAGCACCGGCUAACUCCGUGCCAGCAGCCGCGGUAAUACGGAGGGUGCAAGCGUUAUCCGGAUUCACUGGGUUUAAAGGGUGCGUAGGCGGGCAGGUAAGUCAGUGGUGAAAUCUUUGGGCUUAACCCGAAAACUGCCAUUGAUACUAUCUGUCUUGAAUAUUGUGGAGGUUUGCGGAAUAUGUCAUGUAGCGGUGAAAUGCUUAGAUAUGACAUAGAACACCUAUUGCGAAGGCAGCAAACUACGCAUAUAUUGACGCUGAGGCACGAAAGCGUGGGGAUCAAACAGGAUUAGAUACCCGAGUAGUCC